AACAGUUGAGACUCGUGAAGAAGAAAUCAUUUACGUCGAGCCGACCUUCUACAAAAGAAAAGGGCAGAAAACGGAUUAUAAAGAGGAGGAUCAUGUGGAGUAUGCUCCAAUUGCCAAGAGAAGAUGAUCAAACUUCAAGUACCAGACCAGCGGUGUGAUCGCUUUCACAGAAACCUCUGUAGUUUCCUCUGAGCUCUGAGUUUUGAGUUUUGGGAUUGUUAAAAAUGUGAUAUUCAGUGAUGAACUAAUGAAAUUCUCUUUUAAAGAAUAUGCAAGGACUUUAAAAAAAAACAAAAAUGAUCUAAAUUUUUAGAUCUAAAACUUUUUCAUGUUUGACAAAGCCUCGUUUUUUUUCCCCCCUUUUUAACAAAUCCCCUAAAAAACAACAAACAGGAAACAUUUUGCCUCCUCAUUUCAAAAAUAUAUAACUACAUGUGCAUGCUAAAUAAAUCCCUGCUAUGGUCAGCUUCAUUUGGAGACCCCUGACAGUUUGAGCUGGUUUGAUUUACGUCUGCACAGAAAUGUGGUUUGAUUUGUUGGUGGACAAACAGGUUCAGCAUCUACUGCUGGAUGUUUGUGGUUGAUGUUUGACAGACGCACUGCUGACUUUAGCUGUGUGGUUGAAGGGCUUUUUUCCAUCCCUGCUCAUAUGAAGACCCACAAUCUGACUUUAGCUUUAACAAAACAGACUUUACUGUGAGAUACUGAAUCUAACAGAUAAACGACUCUCUCAUAUAAUUUCAUACAGUCAAUUCAAGUCAAGUCAAAUUUAUUUUUUAUUGCUUUUCACAAUACACAUUAUUUCAGUGCAGCUUUACAGAAAAUCAUGAUGUCAAUGUUUAUAAUAUCCUCAUGCCUUAUAGUCACAUUUAUCAGAUUAGAAAUGGGCGAUAAUAUAGUUUACCUUUUCAAUUAAGCAGUUGAGAUUUGCUGUUUUUGCUCUAUGUGAGUAUAUGGUUUGCAAACAUACAUAUAUAUACAUAUAUAUUCAUAUAAACAUACAUACAUAUAUAUUCAACUUUAUAUAAGAAGCUGGCUGAUAGUAUAGUUACAUUUUGUGACAAAAUAAAAGAAUCAAGCAGUUAAGAUUCAACAUACAAAAGUUAUUAAGCUAUUUGAUGUCACACCCUUUAAAGAUCAUAUCCUGCUUGUCUGAUAUGAUACAGUCAUUUUAAGAAUGCAUAUAUAUGAUUUACUGUUUUAACAUUUAUGGUAUGCAAAUGACCGAUGGUUGUUAAUUUCUUUAGUUUCAGUUGGUUUCAGUUUAGUUUCAGUGGGGGGCAACACUGCUAACACUGCUAACAAAUGAAUGUUUCUACGUUACAAUUAAGUGUAAAAAAUAUGUGCAUAUUCAGAAAAAUAGAGUGUGAAAAUUCAUUUAAAAUUAAAUAAAAAAAAAUAUUUUCAACAA